rnacentral:rRNA from 1 species
CCUACGGGAGGCAGCAGUGAGGAAUAUUGGUCAAUGGACGAGAGUCUGAACCAGCCAAGUAGCGUGAAGGAUGACUGCCCUAUGGGUUGUAAACUUCUUUUAUAUGGGAAUAAAACGUUCCACGUGUGGGAUUUUGUAUGUACCAUAUGAAUAAGGAUCGGCUAACUCCGUGCCAGCAGCCGCGGUAAUACGGAGGAUCCGAGCGUUAUCCGGAUUUAUUGGGUUUAAAGGGCGCGUAGGUGGAUUGUUAAGUUAGUUGGGAAAGUUUGCGGCUCAACCGUAAGAUUGCAGUUGAAACUGGCAGUAUUGAGUACAGUAGAGGUAGGCGGAAUUCGUGGUGUAGCGGUGAAAUGCUUAGAUAUCACGAAGAACUCCGAUUGCGAAGGCAGUUCACUGGACUGCAACUGACACUGGGGCUCGAAAGUGUGGGUAUCAAACAGGAUUAGAUACCCGUGUAGUC